rfam:Capsicum annuum cultivar Zunla-1 chromosome 1, whole genome shotgun sequence
AGGGAUCACAUAAAAGUUGAGAUGUAUCCUGAUUCAGUCUUCCUAAAAAGAGUUUCUGGGGUUUCCUGCUUGUGGUUCCUGAGAUAGUGCUGCAAGUCUCAAAUAACCAGAUACAUCA